AAUGGCAGUUUCAAUAACUUAUGCUUUUACAGCUUCACCAUGACUUGCGAUAGGGGUACCAAAAUUUUGGAGAAUCUGCGAGGCUGAAUGAGAGCAUUGUACUAUAUGGUAGAUACAUUUACCUCUUUAAAACUGGAGGCAUCCUACGGUUUUUCCUGUAAGCACUCUUCUUCAACUCUUCCUCUUCCACAUUUGUCGGACA
rnacentral:lncRNA from 1 species